rnacentral:lncRNA from 1 species
AUCAAGUUUGUGGAGAACACCACGCUCUGCAUCCUGCGGACGUCCAUCAGCGACAGCGGCUACUACACCUGCGUGGUGAGCAACGCCGUGAGCCAGAAUGAGACCUCCUUCCUGCUCAAGGUCCACCACUAUACCAGUGUGGUGCUGCCUGUGAUGCUGACCUGCGUCGUCAUCGGCUCGCUCGCAGGUAUCUUCGUCUGGUACCAGAGAAGGGAGAACUCAUGUGACAACUGUUGAACUAGGUCAGUCCU